GACGAACGCUGGCGGCGUGCCUAAUACAUGCAAGUAGAACGCUGAAGAGAGGAGCUUGCUCUUCUUGGAUGAGUUGCGAACGGGUGAGUAACGCGUAGGUAACCUGCCUUGUAGCGGGGGAUAACUAUUGGAAACGAUAGCUAAUACCGCAUAACAAUGGAUGACACAUGUCAUUUAUUUGAAAGGGGCAAUUGUUCCACUACAAGAUGGACCUGCGUUGUAUUAGCUAGUAGGUGAGGUAAUGGCUCACCUAGGCGACGAUACAUAGCCGACCUGAGAGGGUGAUCGGCCACACUGGGACUGGGACACGGCCCAGACUCCUACGGGAGGCAGCAGUAGGGAAUCUUCGGCAAUGGGGGCAACCCUGACCGAGCAACGCCGCGGGAGUGAAGAAGGUUUUCGGAUCGGAAAGCUCUGUUGUAAGUCAAGAACGGGUGUGAGAGUGGAAAGUUCACACUGUGACGGUAGCUUACCAGAAAGGGACGGCUAACUACGUG
rnacentral:rRNA from 1 species